rnacentral:rRNA from 1 species
AUGUGGAGAGGGGGAGGGGAUGGUGGGGAUGGUGGGGGUGGAGGGGGAGUAGAGGAGGCCACGGACUUCGAGGUCUGCAUCGUCGUGCCCAAGCUCUCGCGCGCCGCAACGGGAGAGGACUGCGUGGCGAGUCUGGUGCGGGAGCUCGAGGGCGCCGGCCUGCUCGUCGAGCGCGUCCGCGGCGUCCCCGCCGAGUUCAUCAAGCUGUCUGCGUCCAUGGGGAUUCUGGGCAGAGCCGCUUCUGAGAUGCAGAUGAAGAAGCUUACCUGCAUCGGAAUGGAGCUGCAGUUUGAAUGGGAACAGGUGGCAGCAUUCGUCAGGCAGCCUGAUGGUUCCCUCUUUAGCUGGCGAGAGCGGUUUACCUGUUUCCGCUACUUGAUAUAUGGCAUUGUGAACAAGACCAACUCUGAAAUAUCUCUCAAAUUUGACGAUAAAGAGUUCUAUUGGAAACAAAACGAGUCACUAUUGCGUAGGCUUGAAGAUGAAGGAGUUGUAAAGCUAGUCUUCCCUUUGCAUGAGGAAAUUAAAAGGAAACAGCUCCUGAGAAAUUGGGCACUUAACUGGCAUGACUUCACAUGGCAACCUAUUGAUGAAGUUUACUCCUAUUUUGGAACCAAGNNNNNNNNNUACUUUGCUUUCCUAGGAAUGUAUACGCGUUGGCUAUUCUUUCCAGCCGUAUCUGGAUUGGCCACUCAGCUUAUAGAUUUUGGGUCAUUCCAGUGGCUGGUUCUUCCUGCUUUCUUUAUCUUCGUGAUUUCUUGGGCUGUCUUCUUUUUGCAAUUUUGGAAAAGGAAGAAUUCAGCACUUCUUGCUAGAUGGGGCAUUAAUUAUUCAUUUGCUGAAUACAAAGCUUCGGCCAACGAACUGGAACCAAUAAGGCAUUAUCUUUCUAUUGAGCGUGAGGAGGAAAAGAAUUUCGAUGAUGCGCCUGCUGAGAAAAGGAGAUUGCAAAGAAACGAGUGGUCUGGUGUCCUUCUAAGAAUUAGGAACAAUGCGAUUAUUGUUCUGGGUAUUAUUUGUCUUCAGCUGCCAUUUGAGUUGGCCUAUGCUCAUUUGUAUGAAAAAACUGAAACUGAGGCGCUGAGGUAUGUCUUGACUGCACUAUAUCUUGUUGCAAUUCAGUAUUAUACAAGGAUUGGUGGAAAGGUGUCUGUCAUUCUAAUAAAGUAUGAAAACAACCAAGGAGAGCAGUCUAGUGCUGAUAGUUUGAUUUAUAAGGUUUUCGGUCUAUACUUCAUGCAAUCAUACAUUGGGUUGUUUUACCAUGCUUCCCUUUAUCGUGACAUUUUGACACUCCGGAAAGUCCUUAUUCAACGUCUAGUCGUGUCUCAGGUGUUGGAAAAUCUGAUUGAGAAUUCUAUUCCUUAUCUCAAAUACAGCUACAAGAAGUACAGUGCUGUUCACAAGAAAAGAGAGAGAGAAUCACCAUCAGGGAAGUCAGUUCGAUUAUCAACAAGAGUGGAGAAAGAAUAUUUAAAACCCUCUUAUACUGCAAGCAUUGGAGAAGAGCUUGAAGAUGGUCUGUUUGAUGAUUUUCUUGAGCUAGCUCUUCAGUUUGGGAUGAUCAUGAUGUUUGCUUGCGCCUUUCCAUUGAUAUUCUGCUUUGCUGCUCUGAACAAUGCAACUGAAAUAAGAGCGGAUGCAUUGAAGUUGUUAGUCAUGUUGAAAAGACCUGUUCCCCGUGCUGCAGCUACAAUUGGAGCGUGGUUGAACAUAUUCCAGUUCCUGAUCGUAAUGGCAAUCUGCACCAACUGCUUGCUUCUUGUUUGUCUAUACGAUGAGGAGGGUAAAUGGCGGAUUGAGCCAGGACUCGCGGCAAUCCUUAUAAUGGAGCAUGCUCUCCUCUUAGUCAAGUUUGGCUUCUCGCACUUUGUCCCUGAGGAGCCUGCAUGGGUGAGAGCAAAUCGAGUGCGGUAUGUAGCUCAGGCACAGACUGUCUGCUCUCAACAACUAUUGAGGAGCAUUUCAAAACUUGAUAGGAAAUGGGAGUGAGGAGCAUUACCACCUUCAGUAUUUAGAAGGCAAAGCUAGUUUUGUAAACUAGGAUAGAGCAGAGAUUUGCCAAUCUCGUGUAGGUAGUGUAGAAAUUUUAGUGCACCAAUUACUGACGUCCUGGUGUUGCUAACUGUUCCCAUUGGUAAAUGUAUAUAUUGCUACAUAAUUUAUAGGAGAUUGGGUGGGGGCAUGUUGCCCAUCAUUGUGAUGGCUGUUACGGGCGGUUUCCUUGCAAGCGAGAUACAUCUGUGGUGUGAGUAUUAUUUUGAGGACCAUGGUUCACAACAGUGCGAAAUUAGCCCGCCAAUUUGCC